UAAAAGCUACCCUGGGGAUAACAGGCUUAUCUCCCCCAAGAGUCCACAUCGACGGGGAGGUUUGGCACCUCGAUGUCGGCUCAUCACAUCCUGGGGCUGUAGUAGGUCCCAAGGGUUGGGCUGUUCGCCCAUUAAAGUGGUACGCGAGCUGGGUUCAGAACGUCGUGAGACAGUUCGGUCCCUAUCCGUCGCAGGCGUAGGAAAUUUGAGAAGACCUGUCCUUAGUACGAGGGGACCGGGAUGGACGUACCUCUGGUGUACCAGUUGUUCUGCCAAGGGCAUGGCUGGGUAGCUAUGUACGGAAUGGAUAAGCGCUGAAAGCAUCUAAGCGCGAAGCCAACUUCAAGAUAAGAUUUCCCACCG
rnacentral:rRNA from 1 species